UCGGGCACAGCAUGGGCGCGCUCGUCGCCUACGAAACGGCACGGCGGCUCACCGUCGCGCCCCGCCGGCUGUUCGUCUCCGCCUGCCCGCCC
rnacentral:tRNA from 1 species